GACGAACGCUGGCGGCGUGCCUAACACAUGCAAGUCGAACGGGCCUGUCUUCUUUUUUGGGGGGUGGGUUGAGUGGCGAACGGGUGAGUAUCACGUGAGUAACCUGCCCUUCGGUCCUGGAUAACCGCUUGAAAGGGCGGCUAAUACGGGGUGGUCCGGUUGGUCCGCAUGGGCUGGUCGGGAUAGAUUCACUGUUUUUGGUGUUUCGGCGGGGGAUGGGCUCGCGGCCUAUCAGCUUGUUGGUGGGGUGAUGGCCUACCAAGGCGGUGACGGGUAGCCGGCCUGAGAGGGUGGGCGGCCACACUGGGACUGAGAUACGGCCCAGACUCCUGCGGGAGGCAGCAGUGGGGGGUAUUGCACAAUGGGCGGAAGCCUGAUGCAGCGACGUCGCGUGAGGGAUGGAGGCCUUCGGGUUGUGAACCUCUGUUUCCGGUGGUGAAGGCCCUGUCCGUGUGGUGGGGUUGACGGUAGCCGGGGAUGAAGCGCCGGCUAACUACGUG
rnacentral:rRNA from 1 species